GACGAACGCUGGCGGCGUGCCUAAUACAUGCAAGUAGAACGCUGAAGAGAGGAGCUUGCUCUUCUUGGAUGAGUUGCGAACGGGUGAGUAACGCGUAGGUAACCUGCCUUGUAGCGGGGGAUAACUAUUGGAAACGAUAGCUAAUACCGCAUAACAAUGGAUGACACAUGUCAUUUAUUUGAAAGGGGCAAUUGCUCCACUACAAGAUGGACCUGCGUUGUAUUAGCUAGUAGGUGAGGUAACGGCUCACCUAGGCGACGAUACAUAGCCGACCUGAGAGGGUGAUCGGCCACACUGGGACUGAGACACGGCCCAGACUCCUACGGGAGGCAGCAGUAGGGAAUCUUCGGCAAUGGGGGCAACCCUGACCGAGCAACGCCGCGUGAGUGAAGAAGGUUUUCGGAUCGUAAAGCUCUGUUGUAAGUCAAGAACGAGUGUGAGAGUGGAAAGUUCACACUGUGACGGUAGCUACCAGAAAG
rnacentral:rRNA from 1 species